rnacentral:lncRNA from 1 species
AUUUAAUAUUGUGUUUUCCAUGAAAUACUCUGUUUCCAUGCCUGUAUUUUAGUCUUGGCUACUUGCAGAUGUUGCAUUGCUGCUGCUGCCACCACUGCUGUUACUACACUACACUUGCUACGAGUUGUUCCUUGGGUAGGACCAGAGUGAUCAUUGAUCAGAAACUCAUCCUCACAGUCUGGGGUUUGCUCCUGUUGCUGGUAUUCACAGUUUUCCCCUUUCAACUUUACCUCAGCUAACCCCUUACCUACAUUAACAGGAGAAGCUGGUAGAAGACUUCAUGAAGGAGAAGAAAAGGAAAAAAAUCAAAGGAUGACUACAGCCUCUCUUCAUCUCAGCUUUGCAAAGCAUGACUCAACAGAGAGAUCACAUUCUUGAAGACUCUCCAGACCACAGCCACCACAGACACUAACCACAGCCAGCAACUGGACCUCAGCCCUGGGAUUUACUCUUGAUGUCUCAACUGAUUAUGAAAUCAGUAGGAGAGCUUGUAUCCCUUUCUAACUUGCUCAUCAGAGAUUUUAAGAUUUGCAUACAUGUGGUAGAUUGAAGAUAAGUUGUUGUGCUGCACUAUUUCUGUUGCUACUCGUGAGAGUCACUACCAGCCUCUCUUCUCAGGAUUAAUGAAUGGGCCAGAAACCGUGGGCAGAAUGACUUCAGGCAACCCCAAACACCAGAUAUUGGCAUAAGGAAACAGUACAAUGAAAAGUCAAUACUUGGACCUUUGUCAUUCCACAAAGCAUGAUGUACUAUCUAAAACAAAAAAGAAGAGCUGCUUUGGAGAA